rnacentral:lncRNA from 10 species
GGGUUAGGCAUGUCUGAGCUCAGACUCUCCUUGGGUGGGGCUUGCCGUGGCUGCUGUGGGGGAUGGGAUGUUGUUUCCAGUCCAGUUGAAUUAUGUUCCUGGGAAAUUAUGGCUACCUCUGCUGUGUCACAUAGGUUGCCAAGGAAGUGGGAGAAAGCCAGCAGCCACAAGCCUCACCCAGCUCCCAUGGAGCCUGCAGCCUGCAGCUUGAAAGGCCAGCCUCAUUCCCACUGUGCCCCCACAACAGCACCGAAGCACCGAGUUUAUUUCCAGGCAGGCAGUGAGCAGGGCUGAGAAAUUGCCCCAGGCUACAAGCCUCCCAGCUGAGAAAGCAAGCAGACUCACAGUUCCUUGGCUGUCCCAUGCAGCCUGCAGCAGCAAUCCACCCCCUUUAAAGUGUCUGUGGAUUCUUUCAGCUUUUUUGGUUCAAGCAAUUCUCCUGUCUCAGCCUCCCGAGUAGCUGGGAUUACAGUCAUGUGCCCCUGUGUCCAGAAUUGGUUCCUUCUGGUGGGUUCUUGGUCUUGCUGUCUUCAAGAAUGAAGCCGUGGACCCUCGUCAUGAAUGUUACAGUUCUUAAAGAUGAAGAGAACAGCAUCAGGGCACAUUGAGGCUCAGAAAUUUAUAUUCCAAGAAGAGGUGCACAGGAACAGAGCAGAUCCAAAGCAGACAACCACCUGGAAGCAGUCAUAACAACAGCAAUAGCAAAUCAAUGCUGAUAAAAGAAAUCAAGUACAGAGAGUUUUAAGGACAUUGUCCAAAGUUGUACAAGGGCACCAUUUUUAAAAGUUGACAACCUCCUGCAGGGAUGUUCUGAAAGACAGAGACAUCUUGUCGGAAUUAUGAAUGUCCUUGGUGGAUGAGGCAGAAAGAGUUGACUGUGUAGGACAUUCCUGACAAGUCCUCAGGAUUUGAAAUGAUCCAGCACUGCUUCCUGAGUCAAGCCACAGCUUCAUCUGACAAUCUAAACUGAGGCUGAGUUUGUCAUCUCUGUUGACAUGCUAUAAAAAUGAAAUAAAACUCAGGCGAACAUGACAGGCCUUGACCUAUUCUGCUGUGCCUGAUGCCAUCAACAGUAGCUUCCAAACACAACAUUUACAAACACAACCUGUUUCAAUCUGACUGAUUAUGUGAUUCUCCUGAUGCUGAGUGGCCUUAAGUUGUGCCACGUGUGAUUAUCAAGGCUACAGUUACUCAGUGAAGAUACACAUGGGGCUUAACCAAACCAAUGUAAUGGUGAUCCAAAUCAGCUUUAACAACAAAUCCUCAAGAGAGUGACUGAAUAAUGACUUCAGGUCAUAUGUUUGUGUGUGCAUAGAUUGGGCUGUGAAAUUGGGGAUGAAGAUUGCUUUUUGGCCUUUUGUCCCCUGUAAUUAUUGGAAGACUCAUAGCAUCCCUUUCAUCACACUAUUUUGAUUAAGACAGUUACACAGGUCCCUCCAGAUUUGAGGAUCAAUGUCACUGUAAGUAUAUGGGUCAUGGGGGUCUAUAAUCAAAAACUAAAAAAAAAAUACAUGUUGGCAUGGAUGUGGUGAACAAGGAACACUUCUACACUGCUGGUGGGAAUGUAAACUAGUACAACCACUAUGGAGAUUCCUUAAAGAACUAAAAGUGGAACUACCAUUUGAUCCAGCAAUCCCACUACUGGGUAUCUACCCAGAGGAAAAGAAGUCAUUAUACAAAAAAGAUACUUGCACAUGCAUGUUUAUAGCAACGCAAUUCACAAUUCACAAUUGUGUUGUGCAAAAAUGUGGAACCAACCAAAUGCCUAUCAGUCAAUGAGUGGAUUAAGAAACUGUGGCAUACUACUCAGUCAUACUACUCAGUCAUAAAAAGGAAUG